UACGUAGGGGGGCUAGCGUUUGUCCGGAUUUAUUGGGCGUAAAGAGCGUGUAGGCGGCCAGGUAGGUCUGCUGUGAAAACUCGAGGCUCAACCUCGAGACGUCGGCGGAAACCAUCUGGCUAGAGUCCGGAAGAGGAGAGUGGAAUUCCUGGUGUAGCGGUGGAAUGCGCAGAUAUCAGGAGGAACACCGGUGGCGAAGGCGGUUUCUCUGGGCCUUACCUGACGCUGAGGAGCGAAAGCGUGGGGGAGCGAACAGG
rnacentral:rRNA from 1 species